UACGAGGGGGGCGAGCGUUGUUCGGAAUUAUUGGGCGUAAAGGGUGCGUAGGCGGUUCCGCAAGUCCUGUGUGAAAUCUUCGGGCUCAACUCGAAGUCUGCACGGGAAACUGCGGGGCUUGAGUGUGGGAGAGGUGAGUGGAAUUCCCGGUGUAGCGGUGAAAUGCGUAGAUAUCAAGUGGAACACCAGUGGCGAAGGCGAGUCCCUGGACAACUCCUGACACUGAGGCACGAAAGCUAGGGGAGCAAACAGG
rnacentral:rRNA from 1 species